rnacentral:tRNA from 2 species
CUCGUCCUAUCUCAAUACAUGAGAGAAGGUGCUUUGGGAGCACUAGGUCGCAGGUUCGAAUCCUGUCGCCCCGA